GACGAACGCUGGCGGCGCGCUUAACACAUGCAAGUCGAACGGAAAGGCCUGCUUUCCCUUGUGGAUUGCGGGUACUCGAGUGGCGAACGGGUGAGUAACACGUGAGUGAUCUGCCCCCAACUUGGGUAUAAGCCUGGGAAACUGGGUCUAAUUCCCGAUAGGACUGCAGGGUGGUGCCUGUGGUGGAAAACGAUUUUCUAGUGGUUGGGGAUGAGCUCGCGGCCUAUCAGCUUGUUGGUGGGGUAAUGGCCUACCAAGGCGGCGACGGGUAGCCGGCCUGGGAGGGUGGACGGCCGCAUUGGGACUGAGAUACGGCCCAGACUGCUACGGGAGGCAGCAGUGGGGAAUAUUGCACAAUAGGCGGAAGCCUGAUGCAGCGACGCCGCGUGGGGGAUGACGGCCUUCGGGUGGUAAACUCCUUUCGACCGAGAGGAAGCCACCUGGUUGGAAGGGUGGUGACGGUAGUGGUAGAAGAAGCACCGGCUAACUACGUG
rnacentral:rRNA from 1 species